rnacentral:rRNA from 1 species
UCGGGAAUUUUGGGCAAUGGGGGAAACCCUGACCCAGCAACGCCGCGUGAAGGAUGAAGUAUUUCGGUAUGUAAACUUCGAAAGAAUAGGAAGAAUAAAUGACGGUACUAUUUAUAAGGUCCGGCUAACUACGUGCCAGCAGCCGCGGUAAUACGUAGGGACCAAGCGUUGUUCGGAUUUACUGGGCGUAAAGGGCGCGUAGGCGGCAUGACAAGUCACUUGUGAAAUCUCUGGGCUUAACCCAGAACGGCCAAGUGAUACUGUCGCGCUAGAGUGCAGAAGGGGCAAUCGGAAUUCUUGGUGUAGCGGUGAAAUGCGUAGAUAUCAAGAGGAACACCUGAGGUGAAGACGGGUUGCCUGGGCUGACACUGACGCUGAGGCGCGAAAGCCAGGGGAGCAAACGGGAUUAGAUACCCUAGUAGUCCCUGAGCGGGCUGGCAAGGCGCAU